ACGGAGGGUGCAAGCAUUAAUCGGAAUUAUUGGGCGUAAAGGGCGCGUAGGCGGGUAAGUAAGUCAGAUGUGAAAUUCCGGGACUCAAUUCCGGAGCUGCAUUUGAAACUGCUUGUCUUGAGGAUUGGCGGAGAGAACGGAAUUCCACGUGUAGCGGUGAAAUGCGUAGAUAUGUGGAAGAACACCGGUGGCGAAAGCGGUUCUCUAGCUAAUAACUGACGCUGAGGCGCGAGAGCAAGGGGAUCAAACAGGA
rnacentral:rRNA from 1 species